ensembl:lncRNA
GGGUGAUCUCCUACUGUAUCAUAGGUCUAUAGACCAGGGUGAUCUCCUCCUGUAUCAUAGGUCUAUAGACCAGGGUGAUCUCCUACUGUAUCAUAGGUCUAUAGACCAGGGUGAUCUCCUACUGUAUCAUAGGUCUACAGACUUGUCUUCUCAAAACAGGCUUAAAACACAACAAGCAACAAACAAACAUUUUCUCUUUCUAAUCUGCUGUUAAUGCUUUUCACUCAGGAAGGUAUUUUGUGUGAAAGAGACAAAUAAAUAUUGUGGAAAGACUAACAACAAAUUACACUUCCUCAAAACAGGUUGUGUGUAUUCAUUAGUGCCCACCGUAACAAAACAACAGAAACCGUUUAGGUCACAUUGUACAGCAUUUAGAGAACUGUUUAUGUUUUAUGCAACAUUUUAAUACUGU